rnacentral:tRNA from 1 species
GCCUGGGUGGUUCAGUCGGUUAAGCGUCUGACUUUGACUCAGGUCAUGACCUCAGUUUGUGAGUUCGAGCCCCACAUCGGGCU